AAUCCAGCCGCCCGAAGUGCAAAUUCGGAUAAGGUGCCAUAACCCUGGAUUU
rnacentral:tRNA from 1 species